rnacentral:lncRNA from 1 species
AUUUUUAGUAGAGACGGGGUUUCGUCAUGUUGGGUAGACUGGUCUCGAUCUCUUGACCUCAUGAUCCGCUGGCCUCAGCCUCCCAAAGUGCUGGGAUUAUAGGCGUGAGCCACCGCACCCGGCCUCACCCUUCCAUUCUUUGGGCAUCCUCUGCCCAAACUCCUUUGCAACCAUCAGACCCAGGCAACCGUGUGGCCAGCUUCCUGGACCUGGUCCUGGGCAAGGACAUUCAGCAUGGAGGUCAGGAUGAAUGUGGUCAUGCCCCCUGUAUCCUCCUCCCCCAGCAGCCCCCAGAGAUGGUUCCCACAGUCACCGAGCUCCUCAAUGGUCACAGUAGCGCUGGGCUCAGAGAGGGCGCCUUCCCCAUCGGUCCGGUAGCUGCAGCUGUAGUUGCCAGGCUGAUGGACUGGAAAGGUGGCCUCCACAUCCUCCUGGGCCUCAGGCACCUCCAGAAACUCAUGGUCGCCCUCCCGCCUCAGCAGAAAAGUCACACCCCGCAGCACACCUCGGCACACUGCUGUUGUUUUCAGGCCGGGGGUGAUCCAGGACACUGGCGCCAUCGAGAGCCAGGGAGCAGGCAAGGACUCUGUGGGUGGGGUGGAGUUGAAGAGUGCUUCUGCAUAACAGGAGACGUGGGAAGCCCAGCAGAACCUGGGCCCCACACUCAUAAGACUGUGAAGGAGACAGGGAUGGAGGGCAUUGCUGGGAAAAGGCAGGCAGGCACCAGUGGAAACAAGGCAUACGGCAAGAGAAAAAGAGUGUGUGGGAGCUGUACGGCAUGCCGGGCCUGCUGGGGACACAACCAUGUAUUCCUUACAACACAGACAUCAUCCCCAUUUGACAGAUGGGAAGAUUGGGGCUUGGGGCUCAGAGACAUCGGGUGACUUGGAGGAAGGGAGACCCCCCAGUCAACAACCUACCCACUGCCUCCUGGCCCCCAAUUCAUGCCCCGGCUCACUUGGCCCUGUCAGCUCCAGGAGCUUGCUCAGCUGGGUCCAUCCUGUGGACAAGCCCGAGCGGCAGCGGUAGCGGCCCUGGGUGUCACCCGUCAGCAGGAACUGGUGCUUGAUGGCAGGGACCCAGACCCCAGGAGGCCUCACCCCACAGCAAGAGAAAGACCACGAGCAUGGACAUGAUGGUCGCGCUCACUCCGGUGCAGUGAGUGUCUGGGUGAUGGAUCCUAGAACCUGUUCUAGAAGGAGACGCUGAGUUCUCCCCACUCUACCUGGAGCUGCUGAGGUCAAGUGGAGAGUGCCGGGGCUGAAGCCCAGCGAGCCCCUCCCUGUCACACCACACUGCACAUGUGACACCAAAGGCAUUUAUUGAGCAUCUACUGUGUGCCAGAUGCAAAGAAGACAGUGGGAUAACUGGGCAAGGAGCAUUCCAGGCAGAGGGAACAGCCAGUGCAAACAUGGGAGAUGCGGGUGCAGUGAGAAGGAGCAGAGGAGACCAGGAGUUGAGGCGACUGCAGAGCGAUUGCAGAGCUCAUAGACGUGAUGAAGACCAGCUGGGCACUGCAGCGGCUCUGGCUUCUGCUGUGAGGGACGGGGAGCUGUGGAGACUCCCUCUGUUUGGUCCCAUUUCCAUAUUGCUGAGCACCUGCUGCAUGCUCUCUGUCCUGCUCAGAGCCAGUACCUGGAUGGAGGCUGUGUGUUCUGGGUGGACUGGGGGAGAAUGCAUUCUUUGCAGAAGAGACAACCAGGUGCUGAGGCCUGAAGUCAUAACCAGACCUGGGGCACUCAGACAAGGACUGGUGGCCAGGCCAGAGGAGCAGAGCUCAGGGUGUGCACAGAACUCAGAAGUCAGACCACUGAACAGUGACAGAACCUUUCAGCCCAUUGGCAAUGAGGCUGCCCAGGCAGCCAGAGGCCUGGUCAAAUCUGAGGUCUGCAGAGAUGGAGCUGUCAUUCUGUGUUUCCUUUGGCAGUCCCAACACCAGCCUCGUUGCACCCUCCUCUUAGCUUCCCUGGGUUCUCCAGCCCUAAGGGUGGUAGCAGCUUCCUGCAAGUAUCCAGCUCUGAGAUUCUGCAACAUCCACUUUUGCUCUCUGAGCCUUGCAAAACCUGCACAAUCAGUCCCUAACUUAUAUCCCCUCUGUUUGAAAUACCUAGUGUGGUUUCUAUUUCCUGAAAAAAAAAAAAAAAAAAAAAAAAAAAAAAAAAAAAAAAAAAAAAA